rnacentral:rRNA from 1 species
GAUGAACGCUGGCGGCGUGCUUAACACAUGCAAGUCGAACGGACAGGCGCUGCUCUUGUGCCGUUCUCGAUUGCAGCGCGGGUGUGUAACACGCGAGUAUAACGUACCUGUAAUAGGGAUAACUUCAGGAAAAUCCGGCUCAUAUCGGGUAGGAUCUCCUGAACCAUGGUGGGGGUUGGAAAGUUUCGGCGGUUGUGGCUGGUCUCGCGGGUUAUCCGCUUGUUGGGGGGGUAGUGGCUUACCAAGCCUUUGACGGGUAGCCGGCCUGAGAGGGCUACCGGCGACAUGGGGCCUAAGGGAGGGCCCAGACGCCAACGGGAGGCAGUAGGGGAGAACAUGGCGCAAUGGGGGGAAGCCAGAGGCGGCAACGCCGCGUGCGGGAUGACGGCCUUCGGGGGGUAAACCGCUGUCGCAGGUGACGAAGCGGGAGUGACGGUAAUUGGUAAAGAAGCACCGGCUAACUACGUG